rnacentral:lncRNA from 1 species
GAUAUGAGUAAAGCGAAAAACACGAUUUCCAAAUAAUGCCCAGAAAAAGACACCUUUUAUGCAUAGAGAUGUCAACAAAUAGGCACCAGGACUCAGACCCACUCUAACUGAGCUCAGGGUUGAAAGUUUACUGUGUUCCCAGCAGUCUGGCCAGCACGAUGUGAAAACAUUUGCUGAGAAGCUUCCAAUAAUUCUGCCCUGGCUCCCCAGAAUAAUCUCUGAAGACAUUGAAAAGGUUCAGAUAACUGAAGAAGAGUCCAGAUUAGAAGAGCACCUGCAACUCUUCCAUCAGGCUGCUAUUCUACUCUGCUCCUCCUCCAUUUUAAGGUAA